CAGUCACAGCUAAUUGGAUGAGGCGGGGACAGAACACGUUGCCCACGUGCAGCCUCUCCGUAGCUGGCCAACACACUAUGGAGUGGCCUGGCAUGAAAUAAGAAUGUCCUCUUUCAUUUCAUUCCAGAUUGAGGAAUAAGCAUUUCAGAGGAUUUUGGUUUUCUCUCUUCUAGGAAAUUGAACUGGGAAAUAUUUCAAGAAUAAGUCAGUGAGAAUGAAAGCUAAAUGAAUGCCUAGAGACAGGAGCCAUAAGGGAUCAGGAAAAAGUCUAUAAAGAGCCAGUUGGAUUUUGUGGACCACACAGUUUCUGUUCCAACUACUCAACUGUGCCAUUGUAGCCAGUAGAGACCACAGACAAUAGUAAAUGAAUAUGACUGUGCUCCAAUAAAGCUUUAUUUACAAAAGCAGUGCAGGUCAUACUGGACCCAUAGGCCCAAAGUUUGCCAAUCCCUGGUCUAGAUCAUGAGGUAGGGCCAUGAUAUUUCAUAGCAGGCUGAAAUGAUGAGAAAUCAAGAACAAUGUGGUAAAGAGACAAUGCCGAUGGUAGAGAGGAAGAAUUGAUAGUAGAUGACUGGAAACACAAGUGGACAGUGGAGGAGUCUUAGGGAGGUGGCCAACUCAAAUUAAUGGUAGGUACUAGAGUGAAGAUCCACAAAAUCUUACUGAACUCACAACUUCUGUUUUCUUUUCUCGGAGUUGAGCCAUUAUGCAAUUGAGGAAGGUUAGACUAGACCACCUGAAGACUACCCAAAGAGAGACCUUGGAGGGUGAGACGUCACCUUGGAUGUUCAAGCUUCAGAUGAGCUCAGAUGCAUGAGAGAUUCCAGUGUUCUUCAUCCGAUGCCUCCUGAAGUCUGUUUCCAUCUGGCAUCAUUUAGCCUCAUCCUGAAGAACUUCCUUUGGUAAUUCUUUAGUGCAGGUCUUCAGACUGGGAGAAGCUGCACACAGGGGACGGGACCCAAGGAGCCUCAGCCACCCCUGGCCCUGAUUCACGUGUCCAGAUCAUGGACCUCAAGCCUGAUGCUACUGUAGGUACAAUGUUUUAGGGAUCUAGAGAGAGGCGAGUGAGUAUAUCUUACAUGUAGUGGGAAAUGUAAAUAAUUCAUGUUCAAUGGGCAGAUUGUGAGGUCUUAAAACAUGUCCACAAAUUCUUUGAUAUUCUUGCCAACAAAAGAUGCAGCCUAAUUCCCCUUCCCUUGGAAGUGGCUGGCCUCAGUGACUUGCUUCUAACAAAUAGAACGUGGCAGAAGCAAUCCUGUGUGACUUCUCAGAUGAUCACAAAAGCAGAGGCAGCUUUUGCCUUGUUUCUUUUCUCUUGGCAUGGUUUGCCUUUGGAAUCCAGCCACCACUGUGGUAGGCGGCCAAGCAGCCACAGGGAAGGGCCGUGUGGAGGUGUUCUGGCCACAGCCCAGCUGCUGUCCUGGCUCCCACCCAGCCAGCAUCACCUGGCAACCUGUGAGUAAGCGAGUUUGCAGAUGGUCCCAGCCAGCAGUCUCAAGCCACCCCAGAUAUGCCCUGGGAAGCAAAGACAAACUGUCCCUGCCAAGCCCUGCCCAAAUUACAAAUUCACGAGAAAAAUAAAUGCAAUCAUUGUUUUAAGGCAUUAAGUUUUGGGGUGGUUUGUCACGUGGCAAGAGAUAAUGGGAUGUUGAUGCGUAAAUGGUUACUAGAAAUAUCCACAUAUGUAAAUACAACCUUGUAACAGUUACCAGAUUUUAGGCAUUAUAAACUACAAUUUCUUUAUGGUCCUCAGCUUUAUCACCUACUAAUUGUGAGACCUUUAGUAAGUCAGUCUCCUGAGCAUCAGUUUCUGCAACCGUAAAAUGGAGAUGAAAAUACUUGUCUUAAAAAAAAUCAUUUAUGAAGAUUAUAUAG